UCGGUUCCCAAGGUUCCCUUCAUGUUAAAAUUCUGAUUCUAUCAAAAGUGAGAUGGUGGAUGAGAGAGCCCUUUGAGGAGGAUGGAGUCUCACAGAAAUGAAAAGCUGAGUCUUGGGUGGCCGUUCUACAGAAUUCACCCACUCUCUACAUAGAGGGGCCUAGUCCAGAAAGUCCAGCCCGGUCCUAAGACUUCCUUGGUCCAAAGAUGGUCAAAGAAUCCAGUGUUUACCGAGGUCUCUCAUCCCCACCAGACGAAGCGCGAGACCAGCGUUCCCGGGGCACGUUCCCUCAACCAGGCGAGCCGCCAGAGCAC